CUGGAAUGUGUUUGAUGACCAACUCAGCGUGGUGUGUGACAGGAUGUGGCCAUUCAAAACAAAACCUUUUACAGAAGCAUGUUAAAACUUUGCUAGGUCUUUUCUCUUCUCUGGAAGGUUAAAGCCUGGGGUUUCAACUGUGCACUUCAGCCUUUGGACAUAUCCAAGAAGCUAUUUUCUGAGACAAGUCUGGGGCCUGCUUUCCAGUUCUCUUCUAAUCUGUUCUCGGUGGAGAUGAGAUGACCUUCCAUCCAGGCAAGUGUGCAGGCAUCAGGCAGAGGGGCCAGAACAUCAGCUGGACCCUGAGGCUGGGCUGGAGGAUGGCCUUGGACCCGCAUCUCUCCUGAGCUAGGCAGGCUCAUUCACCCACACCCCGGUCCCUCGGGCACAGUCCGCCAUGUGGCCCCAACCGCAGAGGCAGAGCCUGCCCCAGCAGGAGGAGCUGCUUUGAGGCUUGAUGACCCUUCAGAGCAGGGCGUUCUCCCCACUCGGCUGAACUCACAUUGGUUUUUAUCGCAUCCUGGUUUCACAGCGGAAGCAGCCUAGCAGGGCGGUCAAGACUACAGCAGGUGCUGGGAAGACAGGGUGAAGGAGAAAGGCAGCCGCUCGGGCGGACGCUCGAAGGAAGGAAAGCCUUCCCUGCUCGGCAGCCCGAGCAUCACAGCUGCAGCGCAGACGGUCCCCAUUCAAGAGCAUGCAAUAAUUGUGUCUGAGAAGUUCGAGACGUGUAGAAAUGAUAGUCGAGCAUUGGAAGAGAGAGGAAAUAGACCAUGAGAGCAAAAUGACCAACUUGCUGAAGACAGACCGAUAGCAUGCAGAAAAGAGGAGAAAGACGGGACAGGAGAAAAGUGAAUACUGCAGGAUCCGUCAAACUGCAGAUGCCGAUGGGGAUCAUCCACAAGCGCUGGGGACCGCAGGCUCUGAGACGGGAAACUCGGAACUCACGCAUUCGCAGAGCGAGCCAUGGGGAGGCUCUGACACCUCCUGAAUAAAUACAGCGGUGCUUUACUACCAAUCAUGGGGGCGUUCUACCAAGCCAGAUGCCACACCUGAUACAGCCAGUUAUUGUUGUUAUUGUCGUUACUACAACUGCUACCUCGAGAAGUUUGGGGUCUAAUAAGGAAAACAUACGUAAACACAUAAAAAGAAUCCAGGCCAUUCAUUAGUAUAAGAGAUGUUUGAAUAAUGGACUAUGUGAUGCAUAAGAGGAAAUAUCACUUGGGCAUCAGGGAAGGUUCUGGAGAACAGGGGACAUCUGAGCUGUGUCUUGAAGCGUAAGUAGGAGUUCAUGAGGUAGAAAGGGGAGAAGUGCAUUCUGGGUAGAGGGAGCCGCAUGUACUCAGUCUCAGGGCGUGGAAGUACUUGGCAGGUCUUGGAGAGUAAAGGGUUUCAUGUUGAGAGAAAGGAGAGCGUGUGAGUCAGAUAGAGAAGAAAGCUAGUAAAGCCGCUCGUAAAAAGGCCACUGUGCCGUGCUGGGGCAUUCGGACUGCGCCCUGUUGGCAGUGAAGAGCUGUGCUGAAGCUUUUAGGCAGGGCGGUGACAGGAUUGCCACGGGCACUGGCUAACUUCUAAAUGCAGAGUCUUGCCCAGGCAAGUGGGGCUGGCACGGUUGCCCUCGAUGGACUUGCGUCACUUUGGGCCCCAGUCUCUGGUCACCCGUGUUCAGGAGAGGGUUCUAAGCUGC
rnacentral:lncRNA from 1 species